GACAGAGGGGGCAAGCGUUGCUCGGAAUCACUGGGCGUAAAGGGCGCGUAGGCGGGAUGGCAAGUCAGUCGUGAAAUCUCUCGGCUCAACCGAGAAACGUCGGCUGAUACUGCCGUUCUUGAGGGAUGCAGAGGAGACUGGAAUUCCCGGUGUAGCGGUGAAAUGUGUAGAGAUCGGGAGGAACACCGGUGGCGAAGGCGGCAUCCUGGACCAAUACUGACGCUGAGGAGCGAAAGCCAGGGGAGCAAACGGG
rnacentral:rRNA from 1 species